UCGCUCGCCCGCACGGAGGGAUUCUCCCCCC
rnacentral:sRNA from 1 species